AUCCCUGUAGCACAUAGGAUAACGCGUUGAACUUCUAAUACAAAGGUCGUGGGUUCGAAUCUUACCUGGGAUG